CCUACGGGUGGCAGCAGUGAGGAAUAUUGGUCAAUGGCCGAGAGGCUGAACCAGCCAAGUCGCGUGAGGGAAGACGGCCCUACGGGUUGUAAACCUCUUUUGUCGGGGAGCAAAAGACGCCACGCGUGGCCUUCCGAGAGUACCCGAAGAAAAAGCAUCGGCUAACUCCGUGCCAGCAGCCGCGGUAAUACGGAGGAUGCGAGCGUUAUCCGGAUUUAUUGGGUUUAAAGGGUGCGCAGGCGGAAGAUCAAGUCAGCGGUAAAAUUGAGAGGCUCAACCUCUGCGAGCCGUUGAAACUGGUGUUCUUGAGUGAGUGAGAAGUAGGCGGAAUGCGUGGUGUAGCGGUGAAAUGCAUAGAUAUCACGCAGAACUCCGAUUGCGAAGGCAGCAUACCGGCGCUCAACUGACGCUCAUGCACGAAAGUGUGGGUAUCGAACAGGAUUAGAUACCCCAGUAGUC
rnacentral:rRNA from 1 species